rnacentral:rRNA from 1 species
GAUGAACGCUGGCGGCGUGCCUAAUACAUGCAAGUCGAGCGAACGGACGAGAAGCUUGCUUCUCUGAUGUUAGCGGCGGACGGGUGAGUAACACGUGGAUAACCUACCUAUAAGACUGGGAUAACUUCGGGAAACCGGAGCUAAUACCGGAUGAUAUUUUGAACCGCAUGGUUCAAAAGUGAAAGACGGUCUUGCUGUCACUUAUAGAUGGAUCCGCGCUGCAUUAGCUAGUUGGUAAGGUAACGGCUUACCAAGGCAACGAUGCAUAGCCGACCUGAGAGGGUGAGCGGCCACACUGGAACUGAGACACGGUACAGACUCCUACGGGAGGCAGCAGUAGGGAAUCUUCCGCAAUGGGCGAAAGCCUGACGGAGAAACGCCGCGUGAGUGAUGAAGGUCUUCGGAUCGUAAAACUCUGUUAUUAGGGAAGAACAUAUGUGUAAGUAACUGUGCACAUCUUGACGGUACCUAAUCAGAAAGCCACGGCUAACUACGUG